rnacentral:rRNA from 1 species
AUCCACCUUGUGUGCAAUGUCAGUCGAUCUUCUUCAUGGAGAUCGACCAAACAUCAACCUUUAUUUUUUAACUCUUUGUCUGAAAAAUAUUAUGAAUAAACAAUUCAAAAUACAACUUUCAACAACGGAUCUCUUGGCUCUCGCAUCGAUGAAGAACGCAGCGAAAUGCGAUACGUAAUGUGAAUUGCAGAAUUCAGUGAAUCAUCGAAUCUUUGAACGCAUAUUGCGCUCUUUGGUAUUCCGAAGAGCAUGCUUGUUUGAGUAUCAGUAAACACCUCAAAGCUUUUGGAUUUUUUAAUCGAAAAGCUUUGGACUUGAGCAAUCCCAACACCAAUCUUUUUGAGAUCGGUGGCGGGUUGCUUGAAAUGCAGGUGCAGCUGGACAUUCUCCUGAGCUAAAAGCAUAUUCAUUUAGUCCCGUCAAACGGAUUAUUACUUUUGCUGCAGCUAACAUAAAGGGAGUUUGACCGUAUUGGCUGACUGAUGCAGGAUUUCACAAGGGUCGGCAACGAUUCUUGUUAAACUCGAUCUCAAAUCAAGUAAGACUACCCGCUGAACUUAAGCAUAUCAAUAAGCGGAGGGAAAAAAAAA